UACGUUCCCGGGCCUUGUACACACCGCCCGUCACACCACGAAAGUUGGCAAUACCCGAAGCCGGUGGGCUAACCCUUUUGGGGAGGCAGCCGCCGAAGGUAGGGUUAAUGAUUGGGGUG
rnacentral:rRNA from 1 species